rnacentral:miRNA from 1 species
AUCCUUUUGAAAGCUUGGCCA